rnacentral:lncRNA from 1 species
GCCUGUGCAUAAGUAUCUCCCACAGAGAUUCUUCUGUGUUUGAGUGUCGUCACUGUUUAAGCACAAAGUGAUGGGGGAUUUCAUAUCUUAUAGGACAAUUCAUUCAAUUUAAAGUCAGCAUGGAUUUUUGUAUUGGAGGUGACCUUAAAGACCCCAUAAUGCGAUGUGCACAGAGAACCUAUUAUCCAAAGGAUUGGUAAGAGAUAAUGGCACUAUUCUAAAUAAUGAAGUAUUAUGUCCUCUUGGACCCAGGACUAAAGCUUUGAAUAAAACCAAUUGUAAUUUCCAACUCGACGUGAGCAGCAUAAAGAGGAUUGUAGUACAUUUAAUGUACCGUGCGGAGGAGAUUGACUUGGCGAUUCAGUAAAGGUAGCAUCCAAAAAAGUUAAGUGUUUCAGAAAUCAAAGUCCC